rnacentral:rRNA from 1 species
AGCUAAUAGAUACCCUGGUAGUCCUGACAGUAAACGGUGCACGCUUGGUGUGGGAAGUGACCCUUUCCGUGCCGAAAGCUAAACGCGAUAAGCGUGCCGCCUGGGAAGUACGAUCGCAAGAUUAAAACUCAAAGAAAUUGACGGGGACCCGCACAAGCGGUGGAGUAUGUGGCUUAAUUCGAUGCAACGCGAAGAACCUUACCUGGCCUUGACAUGCAUUGUGUCGGUGGUGAAAGCUGCCUAGUGUAGCAAUACACGCUUUGCACAGGUGCUGCAUGGCUGUCGUCAGCUCGUGUCGUGAGAUGUUGGGUUAAGUCCCGCAACGAGCGCAACCCCGUGUAGUCCGUUGCCACCGGUUUUACCGAGCACUUGGACUAGACUGCCCAGAUCAACUGGGAGGAAGGUGGGGAUGACGUCAAGUCCGUAUGGCCCUUACGGCCAGGGCUGCACACGUACUACAAUGCCCAGUACAAAGUGAACCGAGACCGCGAGGUGGAGGAAAUCGAG